GCAGACCAUCCUACGGGAGGCAGCAGUGGGGAAUAUUGCACAAUGGGCGCAAGCCUGAUGCAGCCAUGCCGCGUGUAUGAAGAAGGCCUUCGGGUUGUAAAGUACUUUCAGCAGUGAGGAAGGUGGGUAUGUUAAUAGCAUAUUCAUUUGACGUUAGCUGCAGAAGAAGCACCGGCUAACUCCGUGCCAGCAGCCGCGGUAAUACGGAGGGUGCGAGCGUUAAUCGGAAUUACUGGGCGUAAAGCGCAUGCAGGUGGUUUGUUAAGUCAGAUGUGAAAGCCCGGGGCUCAACCUCGGAAUUGCAUUUGAAACUGGCAAACUAGAGUACUGUAGAGGGGGUAGAAUUUCAGGUGUAGCGGUGAAAUGCGUAGAGAUCUGAAGGAAUACCGGUGGCGAAGGCGGCCCCCUGGACAGAUACUGACACUCAGAUGCGAAAGCGUGGGGAGCAAACAGGAUUAGAUACCCUGGUAG
rnacentral:rRNA from 1 species